GUCCCUAAUGCCUCUACUUGGAACACUGGAAUUAACAUAUGCUAAAGAGUAUAUUCUUCCAUCAUAUCGAAGAGAUCGUGACUGAAGAGAUCAUGGCAACCAGAUGACUGGAAAUACCAUAUCUAAAACAUGGCAUCAUUCUACUGGCAGCCUGCAGUGCUGGAGUCUUUGCUUUUA